UAAGUACAAGCCUGGCAACAUGGUAAAACCGCGAAUGGCUCAUUAAAUCAGUUAUAAUUUACUUGGUCAAGAGACGCUAAUACUUGGAUAACUCUGGUAAUUCUAGAGCUAAUACAUGCGGAUCCAUGGGGUAAAUGGCGGCGUUAGCUUCCUGCCCAUGCGCUUUUAUUAGACGACGACCCUGUGUGCCGGACCCUGGUUCUGCCUUGGUCACGGAAUAAACGCACUACUUCAAUGUCACCCUAGGUGUUGACUCUAGAAUAACUCAGUUGAUCGCUUAGGAUUAGUUCCGGCGACGUCGCAUCUAAGUUUCUGCUCUAUCACACUUUCGAUGGUAGGUUAAAUGCCUACCAUGGUUGUGACGGGUAACGGGGAAUCAGGGUUCGAUUCCGGAGAGGGAGCCUGAGAAACGGCUACCACAUCCAAGGAAGGCAGCAGGCGCGUAAAUUACCCAAUCCCGGAACGGGGAGGUAGUGACGAAAAAUAACAAUACGGGACUCUUAAGAGGCUCCGUAAUUGGAAUGAGUACACUCUAAAUCCUUUAACGAGGAUCCAUUGGAGGGCAAGUCUGGUGCCAGCAGCCGCGGUAAGUCCAGCUCCAAUAGCGUAUGCUAAAUUUGCUGCGGUUAAAAAGCUCGUAGUUGCAGACUCUACGCGUCGCCGUCUCGGGAUAUACCAACCCAAUAGGCGGAUGGCGGGUAACGUCGAGGGCUGUCCGUCGUUCUCUUCAUUGAGAGCUUCGGGUGGCCUUCAUAUGUCACUUUGAUCAAAUUAAGGUGCUCAAAGCGGGCUACGGCCUGUAUAUUUCUGCAUGGAAUGACCGAAUACGUUGUCUAUAUUCUGUAAUGGUCUGCAGAUAUAACUAAAAUGGUCAAGAGGGACUGACGGGGGCAUCCGUAUUGCGGCGUGAGAGGUGAAAUUCUUGGACCGUCGCAAGACGAACUACAGCGAAAGCAUUUGCCAAGAAUGUUUUCAUUGAUCAAGAACGAAAGUUAGAGGUUCGAAGGCGAUCAGAUACCGCCCUAGUUCUAACCAUAAACUAUGCCAACUAACAAUCCGCCCGAGUUCCAAUUGCGGCUCGGCGGGCAGCCCCGAGAAAUCCAAGUAAGGUUCCGGGGGAAGUAUGGUUGCAAAGCUGAAACUUGAAGGAAUUGACGGAAGGGCACUACCAGGAGUGGAUUGUGCGGCUUAAUUUGACUCAACACGGGAAAACUUACCCGGCCCGGACACUGGAAGGAUUGACAGAUUGACAGCUCUUUCUUGAUUCGGUGGAUGGUGGUGCAUGGCCGUUCUUAGUUGGUGGANCGAUCUGUCUGGUUCAUUCCGAUAACGAGCGUGACUCUAGCCUAUUAAAUAGACGGAGGGUUUGUACACGCCCUACGUUCUUCUUAGCGGAACAAGGUGCUUUUAGCACCACGACAAAGAGCAAUAACAGGUCUGUGAUGCCCUUAGAUGUCCGGGGCCGCACGCGCGAUACACUGAAGGAAUCAGCGUGUAAUAAACCCUGGUUUUUGCAAACCGGGUAACCCACUGAAAUUCCCUCAUGAUUGGAAUUGGGGCUUGCAAUUGUCCCCCAUGAACGAGGAAUUCCCAGUAAACACCUGUCAUUAACAGGUGCUGAUUACGUCCCUGCCCUUUGUACACACCGCCCGUCGCUACUACCGAUUGAAUGGUUUAGUGAGGCCGUCUGACUGGUGUUCUGCGAGUCAACCUCUAGGGGUACGUCACGCUUUGCGCUAGAAUGACAGCCAAACUUGAUCAUUUAGAGGAAGUAAAAGUCGUAACAAGGUU
rnacentral:rRNA from 1 species